rnacentral:rRNA from 1 species
UGCGUAGGCGGAAUAUUAAGUCAGUGGUGAAAUCCUGCGGCUCAACCGUAGAACUGCCAUUGAUACUAAUAUUCUUGAAUGUAGUUGAGGUAGGCGGAAUGUGUAAUGUAGCGGUGAAAUGCUUAGAUAUUACACAGAACACCGAUUGCGAAGGCAGCUUACUAAACUAUGAUUGACGCUGAGGCACGAAAGCGUGGGGAGCGAACAGGAUUAGAUACCCUGGUAGUCC